rnacentral:rRNA from 1 species
AGAGAGAGACAUGCGCGCAUAUCAAUAAGCGGAGGAAAAGAAACUAACAAGGAUUCCCUUAGUAACGGCGAGUGAAGCGGGAAGAGCUCAAAUUUGAAAUCUUCAAGGUUUUACCUUGACGAAUUGUAGUUUAAAGAAGUGUUUUCUGUUGGAGUUUUGGUAAAAGUUCUUUGGAAUAGGACAUCAUAGAGGGUGAGAAUCCCGUAUUUGACCAUUAUUUUCAGCUUUGUGAUACACUUUCAAAGAGUCGGAUUGUUUGGGAAUGCAGUCCAAAAUGGGUGGUAAAUUUCAUCUAAAGCUAAAUAUUGGCGAGAGACCGAUAGCGAACAAGUACCGUGAGGGAAGAUGAAAAGAACUUUGAAAAGAGAGUUAAACAGUACGUGAAAUUGUCAAAAGGGAAGCGUUUGACACCAGUGUUGUUUUCUCGAAAAUCAAUUAAAAAUGGCAUCGAUUUUGUAUUGCUGAGACCUUAAAAGCUCACUGUACAUUUUUCGUGUCUUUUUUAAUGCACUUUUCGUUUAACAAGUCAACAUCAGUUUCUUUUGUUGUAAAAGGGUCAUUGGAAGGUGGCUUUCUUUUCGGAGAAAGUGUUUAUAGCCUUUGGCCUCUGCAAUCGAAGAGACUGAGGUCUGCAGCGUAGACUCUUCGGGGUUAGAUACAUUUGUGCUAAGUUAUAGCUUUUUAUAGACAACUUGUUGACUAUAAUUAGUCUUGUAGCUUACUCGCUUAUGCUAUUUUACCUACGCUUAGGAUGUUGAAGAUGUAGACAUCAU